rnacentral:rRNA from 1 species
AACGAACGCUGGCGGCAUGCCUAACACAUGCAAGUCGAACGAGACCUUCGGGUCUAGUGGCGCACUGGUGCGUAACGCGUGGGAACCUGCCCUUAGGUUCGGAAUAACUCCCCGAAAGGGGUGCUAAUACCGGAUAAUUUCUUCGGACCAAAGAUUUAUCGCCUUUGGAUGGGCGCGAGUUGUAUUAGCUAGUUGGUAGGGUAAAAGCCUACCAAGGCGACGAUCCAUAGCUGGUCUGAGAGGAUGAGCAGCCACACUGGGACUGAGACACGGCCCAGAAUCCUACGGGAGGGAGCAGUGGGGAAUAUUGGAAAAUGGGCGAAGGCAUGAUCCAGCAAUGCCGGGUGAGUGAUGAAGGCCUUAGGGUUGUAAAGCUCUUUUACACGGGAUGAUAAUGACAGUACCGGGAGAAUAAGCUCCGGCUAACUCCGUG